AUGAUGGCCUACGGUGUUCCUGUAGACUACAUUGAUGACAACUUGGCAAUGGCAGAGAGCACUUCUAUCUUCUAUGUCAAACAAUUUGCAAAGGCUAUUGUAGAAGUGUUUGGUGCAGAGUACUUGAGACCUCCCAAUGCUCAGGACACGCAGAGGUUGUUGGAGAUGAACAAAGCUUGUGGGUUUCCAGGUAUGCUAGGGUCCAUUGAUUGCAUGCAUUGGUAG
rnacentral:rRNA from 1 species